UGUGGGAGCGGGCUUGCCCGCGAUGGCGUCAUCACAGUCUCUAUUGAUGUCGCCUGACCCACCGCUAUCGCGGGCAAGCCCGCUCCCACA
rnacentral:misc_RNA from 1 species